rnacentral:rRNA from 1 species
UACCAGCACCCCGAGUGGUCGGGACGGAUUAUUGGGCCUAAAGGCAUCCGUAGCCGGUUCUACAAGUCUUCCGUUAAAUCCACCUGCUUAACAGAUGGGCUGCGGAGGAUACUAUAGAGCUAGGAGGCGGGAGAGGCAAGCGGUACUUAGUGGGUAGGGGUAAAAUCCGUUGAUCCAUUGAAGACCACCAGUGGCGAAGGCGGCUUGCCAGAACGCACUCGACGGUGAGGGAUGAAAGCUGGGGGAGCAAACCGG